GAGUUUGAUCCUGGCUCAGAACGAGCGCUGGCGGCGUGCUUAACACAUGCAAGUCGCGUGCGCAGUCUGUAGCAAUACAGGCAGGCGCACGGCGCACGGGUGCGUAACACGUGGGCAAUCUGCCCUCUGAUGGGGAAUAACCCGCCGAAAGGCGGGCUAAUACCGCAUAAGAUUCCCCGGACUUCGGUCUGGGAUUGAAAGCCCGCCGCAAGGCGGGCGUCGGAGGAGGAGCCCGCGCCCGAUUAGCUAGUUGGUGAGGUAAUGGCUCACCAAGGCAAUGAUCGGUAGCUGGUCUGAGAGGAUGAUCAGCCACACUGGAACUGAGACACGGUCCAGACUCCUACGGGAGGCAGCAGUGGGGAAUCUUGCACAAUGGGCGAAAGCCUGAUGCAGCGACGCCGCGUGGGGGAUGAAGCAUUUCGGUGUGUAAACCCCUUUCGACCGGGAAGAAAGCCUCGCAAGAGGACUGACGGUACCGGUAUAAGAAGCCCCGGCUAACUACGUGCCAGCAGCCGCGGUAAGACGUAGGGGGCCAGCGUUGUUCGGAAUUACUGGGUGUAAAGGGUUCGUAGGCGGUGCGGCAAGUUGGGAGUGAAAUCUCUGGGCUUAACCCAGAGGCUGCUUCCAAAACUGCUGUGCUCGAGUGUGAGAGAGGCGCGUGGAAUUGCAGGUGUAGCGGUGAAAUGCGUAGAUAUCUGCAGGAACACCCGUGGCGAAAGCGGCGCGCUGGAUCACUACUGACGCUGAGGAACGAAAGCUAGGGGAGCAAACAGGAUUAGAUACCCUGGUAGUCCUAGCCCUAAACGAUCAGGACUUGGGGUGGCACCCGUUCGGGUGUCGUCCCGGAGCUAACGCGUUAAGUCCUGCACCUGGGGAGUACGGUCGCAAGAUUAAAACUCAAAGGAAUUGACGGGGACCCGCACAAGCGGUGGAUGAUGUGGAUUAAUUCGAUGCAACGCGAAAAACCUUACCUACCCUUGACAUGGAUGGAAUCCCGGAGAGAUUUGGGAGUGCCCGAAAGGGAACCAUUACACAGGUGCUGCAUGGCUGUCGUCAGCUCGUGUCGUGAGAUGUUGGGUUAAGUCCCGCAACGAGCGCAACCCUUGUCAUUAGUUGCUACGAAAGAGCACUCUAAUGAGACUGCCGGUGACAAACCGGAGGAAGGUGGGGAUGACGUCAAGUCCUCAUGGCCCUUAUGGGUAGGGCUUCACACGUCAUACAAUGGUACAUACAGAGGGCCGCCAACCCGCGAGGGGGAGCUAAUCCCAGAAAGUGUAUCGUAGUCCGGAUUGUAGUCUGCAACUCGACUACAUGAAGUUGGAAUCGCUAGUAAUCGCGGAUCAGCAUGUCGCGGUGAAUACGUUCCCGGGUCUUGUACACACCGCCCGUCACACCAUGGGAGCGGGUUUUACCAGAAGUAGGUAGCUUAACCGCAAGGAGGGCGCUUACCACGGUAGGAUUCGUGACUGGGGUGAAGUCGUAACAAGGUACCCGUA
rnacentral:rRNA from 1 species